rnacentral:rRNA from 1 species
GACGAACGCUGGCGGCGUGCUUAACACAUGCAAGUCGAACGGAAAGGCCCUGCUUUUGUUGGGUGCUCGAGUGGCGAACGGGUGAGUAACACGUGAGUAACCUGCCCUUGACUUUGGGAUAACUUCAGGAAACUGGGGCUAAUACCGGAUAGGAGCUCCUGCUGCAUGGUGGGGGUUGGAAAGUUUCGGCGGUUGGGGAUGGACUCGCGGCUUAUCAGCUUGUUGGUGGGGUAGUGGCUUACCAAGGCUUUGACGGGUAGCCGGCCUGAGAGCGUGACCGGCCACAUUGGGACUGAGAGACGGCCCAGACUCCUACGGGAGGCAGCAGGGGGGAAUAUUGCACAAUGGGCGGAAGCCUGAUGCAGCAACGCCGCGUGCGGGAUGACGGCCUUCGGGUUGUAAACCGCUUUCGCCUGUGACGAAGCGUGAGUGACGGUAAUGGGUAAAGAAGCACCGGCUAACUACGUG